CACCGGCUCUGCUCUCUCACGGCAGAUUCCUCGUCUGCUUGCGCAGGUUUCGGAGCAGCCCAGCAGCUCCCUUGCUCGCAGGUGUGAGGUUCAGGCUGUCGUCCAAAAGCCGUCAGCAGUGAUGAAUGUGCGGGAGAUAAAGUGCACGGGGUGCUUUGCUGUCCCGGAGGGCUCGAGCUCUGCUGCGGGGUGGCGCGGGCAGAGCAGCCGCUGCAAGAAGCCGGCCGCGUGCCUCGGCUCCCGCCCGGAGAGGCCCCGGUUUCGCUGGAUAUCGCUGAAAAGGUGACUCGAGAUUGCUGCUCUUUCCCCAGUGCUCCCGGAUGGGUGUGGAAGAGGCACGCGACAGGGAAGUGGCUUGGCAAAGAUGAAGCUACACCUACAUUCAGGGUUGUCCUGGGCACCUGUGCAAAUCUUCCUGAAGGCCAGGAGGGGGACUGCAAGGACAAAAGAAGACAAAAGCUGAAAAAAGAAAAGAGGAAUCGAGGAGAAAUUCCCUUGAUGACAGUGGAAAGUCACAGACACUACUGCUGGAGGUGUGACUCAGUUUGGAUGUAUGAUCCCAGCAGAGCUUGGUUGGAGUACUUCAGUGGCUGUUCCUCCUCACUGCCUGCUUCUGCUGAGAGAGACUCCGGGAGCUCAAACAUGAUGGGGAGCACAGCGCAAGCAAGGAUGUGGAAGGGAGGACAAGUGCAUAUCUGACGUGUUGAUUGCUGCCUGCCAGAGGCCUGGGGUCCGGUCCUGGUGUGUGCGAUAUCGUGCAUGUGACAGAGCUUUGCACUCUCAAUUUUGUCCUCAUCAGAAAAUGACGGUCUCAACACCAUUACCUUCUGUGAUUCUGGAAGGGUGGAGAAGCUGAGCACAGAAAUUGCUUCGAGUCCCAAAUACUCUGAUCCUCUAAGGCAGUGUCCUAUAAAUCUAGUUACAGGUUCUUCCAUAUUAGCCGUAAGUGCUGGCACACUGUUUUACUCUAAGCAAUAGCAAUGUAGAAGGAUAAAACUGAAGAAUGUGCUGCUGUAGCUUUGUACAGUGCAGA